GGGCAGUCCCCAGCGCAGGAGCGCAUCCUACCAAGGGCCACAGCACACAAAAGCAAAAGACUCCCACCUGGUCUAGAAUAUCACGCUUCUGAAACUUGAAGCCCUUUUAUGUGAAGCUUGCUGAGCCUGUGGCCCUCGGAGUCUCCCCCUCCCCCAAUAAACGGUAAAUUCUACGCAGCGCAAUACAUUGGGGAUGAACAACGACGACGACCAAAUGUGAAUAAAGCCAGUUUCCAUUCAAGCCUUACAAGCAUCCUUGCUCCUAAGCCGGGCAUUGGAGACCCAGCAAGUUGGAGAGCAUUCUGAGCUGGAGGGCGGCCUUUGUGACCAAGACACCUGUCCCUCUUGGGUCCUGACUAAAGAGCGACGGCUGAAAUUAUUCUUCUAGAAGGAAAUCUGCACUCAACUCCUGCACUCAAAAACGACUAUCGAAGGGAUGCUGUGUGACCCGGGACCCGGGGCUUGGAGCACCCUGUUACCUGGUCUAGGUUCCACUAGGACUGCGUUGUCCUGCGUUCCCUCGAGCGGCUGGUAGAGGAGAAUCAGAAGCCAGACCUCUGGCCAAUUAUUUACCCCACUCCCCACCCUGGGCGCCCCUCGAAGUCGGAGAUGGAGAGGCGGGGGAUUAGCCUGGACUCCCGCGCCAGUGGGGAAGGAGGUGUGAGCAGAGAGAUUGGCAGCUCCGGAACGCCGGUCAGCAUCGGCGCCGCCCUCCCCCACCCGUCUGCUCCCCAAAGCCCGGGCGCUGUUAGUGGCUCUUUGACUUGGCAUGGGAAAGGGCUGGAUGGGCUGAAGGCAUUUGUGUACCUCGAAGCCACCAGAUAAAAUUGCGGACUCAUGCGGGGGGCGGAAGUCAACCAGUCCCCCAACCUCUCCACAGUUUGGGGCCUUUAAGGGACGGCUCAGGAAUAGUGAAUCCAAACCCUCUCCCCUCCCUCGCGCGCUCUCAGUCUGCACCCUACACCGCAGAAUGUCGCUGGGAACCCUAGGGACUUAACUGUGCCUCGUGUUCCUCAGGAACACUGGGUUUCGUGAUCUAGUCCCAUGCGUUUACCGAACCGGACUUUCCCAGGCUCACCCAGCCUAUUCCGCUUAUUUUUUCUACUGUACCCUCCUGGAGGAGACAAGACUCCUAAUCAGUGAACCAGUACUAGAAACUCUUAGGUGUUCUAUCCUAUGCGGCGCCUUUUAACUUCUUUGGGUAACUGUUUCAGGUAUGUGGUAAGGAUGUACACGGCUGCAUGCGCGCGCCCACACACACACACACACACACACACACACACA